AAUGGAAUUGUUGAAGUUUUAUGUUUUUUAGGUCGAAAUUUUCUUGGAACUAAAUUGUGGAAUUUGUGGAAAAUAUUCUUUGUUGGUGGAUUCCGUCUCGUUGUUUAUAAUAUUUUAAGACUUUUUUCAACACUGUCGUGCAAUAUCCAAGACCAACAAUUUUAAUUAAAUUUACCUUGGUAUGGCUUGACUAGAGAGUGUUCUCUUUUCAUGUAGCUAUCGUGGUCAGUUUGUGCAUUGGUUUUUAAGCACAAUAUUAGUAUCAAUGUGAAACAUAUCAAAUUUUUCGAUAAUUUUUGCAUUUUGAAAUUUAUUUGGUAAAAA